rnacentral:rRNA from 1 species
CCUACGGGAGGCAGCAGUGAGGAAUAUUGGUCAAUGGACGAGAGUCUGAACCAGCCAAGUAGCGUGAAGGAUGACUGCCCUAUGGGUUGUAAACUUCUUUUAUAAAGGAAUAAAACGAGGCACGUGUGCCUUUUUGCAUGUACUUUAUGAAUAAGGAUCGGCUAACUCCGUGCAAGCAGCCGCGGUAAUACGGAGGAUCCGAGCGUUAUCCGGAUUUAUUGGGUUUAAAGGGAGCGUAGAUGGGUUGUUAAGUCAGUUGUUAAAGUUUGCGGCUCAACCGUAAAAUUGCAAUUGAUACUGGCAGUCUUGAGUACAGUUGAGGUAGGCGGAAUUCGUGGUGUAGCGGUGAAAUGCUUAGAUAUCACGAAGAACCCCGAUUGCGAAGGCAGCUUACUAAACUGUGACUGACAUUGAUGCUCGAAAGUGUGGGUAUCAAACAGGAUUAGAUACCCCAGUAGUC